GUCCGUCGUCUAUUCGAAGGUGCUUUUUCGGCUUACAUUCUCAUUCUACGUUAGCGGUUGUCGUCGUCGUCGCUGACUGUGUACGCGCCCGAUGACUCUCCACCUUUCGACUUGUCUCUCUCGCUUGUGCUACCGCUGCCGCCCCGCACGCACACACACGCACACACGCAUACAGUAAGUGAGAACGGCCGGCAGGCAUAACGUCACUCUACCCAAGAGAGAGGCCGCGGCGGUGGUGAUACCACGCCACGCGACGGCAAAUAAGUAGCGGCACAUCAGCCUGUUGCCGAGCACGGUGAAGCGUGACAAACGGUUGUACGUAGCGCACUGUACACAUACAAAGAGGCGCAAGUAGAACGAUGGAGCUUCGAGAGCGUGUCGGGAAGCUGUCGCGGGCGCAGGCGCCGACGGCCGUGCCACCCACGUCGAACCCGAUGACGCAGCGUCUCGUCUCUCUGGAGCAUGACGAGAUGUCUCACCUCUGGUUCAGAGGGGUGAUGGCCUUCCUCGCAUUUCUGUGCUUCAUGCUCUCCAUCUUGCAGGUGAGCGGGUACGCUGGUAACGUUGUGGUGCACGUCCUCAUUUUGGCCCUCUCCUUGGCGGGAGAGAUGUGCAUCGUCGUUGUCUACCGCAUCAAGGCGCGCUUUGCGGGUGUGACGAACCCCGCCAGUCACGCCGUGAACUCGCUGCACUCCCCACACCUGUCGCUGAUGCUGUGCGAGAUGCUGGUUUGGAUCAUUAUGGCCCCGCCCGGCGUCAAGGGCACUUCCAGCUGGGCGCGGGUGCUGGACAGCUUUAUUGUGCUGCGCUCGUACGUCUACGUGAUGUACGUCACACGCCUCUCCACCCAGAGCGUCUUCAAGCGCGCCGUGGCGUCGCUGUGUGGGUAUCGCUUCAACUCCCUCUACAUGUUCCGUCACACCUUUAUAUCUCGGCACGCCAUCGCGACGGCGUGCGGCUUUAUCGUGGCGUGGCUCGGGAUGGCUCUGCUGUACAGCAAGGGUGAGGAGGUCAGCUACGCGGACGCCGUGUACUUCUGCUCCUCCACCAUGGGUUUCGUCGGGUACAGCGACGUCGUCCCAUCGACGUGGGUAGGGCGGUUCACUGCCUUUCUCGCCUGCUGCCUGGGGCUGCUCGUCAUCGCCUGGUGCGUCAGCCUGAUGCACGCGCUAACCCGCGUCACUCCGGCAGAGCGCAACUUGCACACGCUCUUUCGUACCAACAAGCUGUGUGCGCAAGUUCCUGGUGAGGCGGCUCGCACCAUCCAGCGCGCGUGGAAGCUCUACCUGGCAAAGCUGGAGAAGCGCAACCCGCUCUCCAUUCAGUUCAACGCGCUGCUGCUGAGCAGCCAGGCCUGCAGUUUUCGCUCCCUCCGCCGCGAGUUUGUCGAGUCCGAGAUGGCAUUCAUCCGCUCCACCUACACCUUUGAUGACGCCCUCACCGCGCUGAGCCGCCAGUCAUCUCUUCGCACAACCCCGGCCGGGUCCCCGCGUUCGCCGAUGAGCACGGCCCUCAGCGCCAGCAGCGGAACUCCCAAGAGCACCACUGGCCGGCGCUCCUUUUCUCUCUUCAAGGAGGUGAAGUUGAAGUCGCCGCAGAUUUCGCCGUUGCCCCCUGGCGCGAAUGUGGAGACAGGUUGCUCGGACGGUGGUGCACCGCCGCCGGCAUCGUCGUCGACGUCACUACCAGUGUUGGAGCUGCGCGGGCUUAUCAAUCAGCGGCAGCUCACGCACAGUGGCACCGGUGCGUCCGCGAUGGCCAGCGACAUCACCAGGAGGCUGGCCCACCUCGAUGAAACCCUCAGCAUAUUAAUUCGCAAGGCGGAGCGCAUGGCGCCAAGAAUGCUUGCCUCCUCCACUGAGGUGGCGUCGUAGGCCGCUAGGUGAAACGCAAAGAAUCUUUAGCGUUGUAUGCUAGUAUUUUUUUUUUUGGAUUUUGUGGGUAUGAUAUCUUGCGCCGUAUCGCUCCGUCUUGCGAGCCGGCAUGCGAAGAGAUGCGUGCGUGCGAUGUUACGUUCUUCCUGCGUGUAUGUGUGUGUGUGUGUAUGCUGCUGCUGCCACGUGCCGCCUGCCGAUCAUUUUUGCGCACCUCGAACUUACCUCUUCACGCACGCGUGUACGCGUUUUGCUUUCCCUUCCUUCUUCAUGAAUCCAAAGACCUUGUGCGUGCGUGUGCACGCGCUUCGACUAGCCGGCAUCACGUCCAACGACGACAUG
rnacentral:misc_RNA from 1 species